CCUACGGGGGGCUGCAGUCGAGAAUUAUUCACAAUGGGGGAAACCCUGAUGGUGCGACGCCGCGUGGGGGAAUGAAGGUCUUCGGAUUGUAAACCCCUGUCAUGUGGGAGCAAAUUAAAAAGAUAGUACCACAAGAGGAAGAGACGGCUAACUCUGUGCCAGCAGCCGCGGUAAUACAGAGGUCUCAAGCGUUGUUCGGAAUCACUGGGCGGAAAGCGUGCGUAGGCUGUUUCGUAAGUCGUGUGUGAAAGGCGCGGGCUCAACCGGCGGGCGGCACAUGAUACUGGGAGACUUGAGUAAUGGAGGGGGAACCGGAAUUCUAGGUGUAGCAGUGAAAUGCGUAGAGAUCGAGAGGAACACUAGUGGCGAAGGCGGGUUCCUGGACAUUAACUGACGCUGAGGCACGAAGGCCAGGGGAGCGAAAGGGAUUAGAUACCCUUGUAGUC
rnacentral:rRNA from 1 species